rnacentral:rRNA from 1 species
GACGAACGCUGGCGGCGUGCUUAACACAUGCAAGUCGAACGGACAGGCCCUGCUUUUGUUGGUUUCUCGAGUGCCGAAGGGGUGUGUAACACGUGUGUAACCUGCCCUUAUCUUUGUGAUAUCUUCACGAAACUGCGGCUCAUACCCGAUAUGAUCUCCUGCUGCAUGUUGGUGGAUGGAAAGUUUCGGCGGUUGGGGCUGGUCUGGCGGGUUCUCCGCUUGUUGGUGUGGUAGUGGCUUACCAAGGCUUUGACGGGUAGCCGGCCUGAGAGGGGGACCGGCCACAAUAGGACUGAGAGACGGACCAGAAGGCAACGGGAGGCAGCAGGGGAGAAUAUGGCACAAUGGGCGGAAGCCUGAGACAAAAACGCAGCGUGCGGGAUGACGGCCUACGGGUGGUAAACAGAUGUCGACUGUGACGAAGAGUGAGUGACGGUAAUGGGUAAAGAAGCACCGGCUAACUACGUG